rnacentral:rRNA from 1 species
UUCCUACGGGGGGCAGCAGUGGGGAAUAUUGCACAAUGGGGGAAACCCUGAUGCAGCGACGCCGCGUGAGUGAAGAAGUAAUUCGUUAUGUAAAGCUCUAUCAGCAGGGAAGAAAAUGACGGUACCUGAGUAAGAAGCCCCGGCUAACUACGUGCCAGCAGCCGCGGUAAUACGUAGGGGGCAAGCGUUAUCCGGAUUUACUGGGUGUAAAGGGAGCGUAGACGGCAGCGCAAGUCUGGAGUGAAAUGCCGGGGCCCAACCCCGGAACUGCUUUGGAAACUGUGCAGCUGGAGUGCAGGAGAGGG